rnacentral:rRNA from 1 species
UACAGAGGGCCCGAGCGUUGUUCGGAUUUAUUGGGCGUAAAGGGUGCGUAGGCGGCGGAGUAAGUUGGGUGUGAAAUCCCGGGGCUCAACCUCGGAAUGGCAUUCAAUACUGCUUCGCUAGAGUACUGGAGAGGAGGCUGGAAUUUACGGUGUAGCAGUGAAAUGCGUAGAUAUCGUAAGGAAGGCCGGUGGCGAAAGCGAGCCUCUGGACAGUUGCUGACGCUGAUGCACGAAGGCCAGGGGAGCAAACGGG